UACGUAGGGUGCAAGCGUUAAUCGGAAUUACUGGGCGUAAAGCGUGCGCAGGCGGUUCGGAAAGACAGAUGUGAAAUCCCAGAGCUUAACUUUGGAACUGCAUUUUUAACUACCGGGCUAGAGUGUGGCAGAGGGAGGUGGAAUUCCGCGUGUAGCAGUGAAAUGCGUAGAUAUGCGGAGGAACACCGAUGGCGAAGGCAGCCUCCUGGGAUAACACUGACGCUCAUGCACGAAAGCGUGGGGAGCAAACAGG
rnacentral:rRNA from 1 species